CAAGUCGAGCGGCAGCACGAGUAGUUUACUACUUGGUGGCGAGCGGCGGACGGCUGAGUAACGCGUGGGAACGUGCCCCAAAGUGAGGAAUAAGCUCCAGAAAUGGAGUCUAAUGCCGCAUAUGAUCUUCGGAUUAAAGUAUUUAUACGCUUUGGGAGCGGCCCGCGUCCGAUUAGAUUGUUGGUGAGGUAAAGGCUCACCAAGUCGACGAUCGGUAACUGGUCUGAGAGGAUGAUCAGUCAGACUGGAACUGAGACACGGUCCAGACUCCUACGGGAGGCAGCAGUAAGGAAUCUUCCACAAUGGGGGCAACCCUGAUGGAGCAACUCCGCGUGCAGGAUGAAGGCCUUCGGGUCGUAAACUGCUUUUAUGAGUGAAGAAUAUGACGGUAACUCAUGAAUAAGGGUCGGCUAACUACGUGCCAGCAGCCGCGGUCAUACGUAGGACCCAAGCGUUAUCCGGAGUGACUGGGCGUAAAGAGUUGCGUAGGUGGUUAGUAAAGUGAAUAGUGAAACCUGGUGGCUCAACCAUACAGACUAUUAUUCAAACUCACUAACUCGAGAGUAGCAGAGGUAACUGGAAUUUCUUGUGUAGGAGUGAAAUCCGUAGAUAUAAGAAGGAACACCAAUGGCGUAGGCAGGUUACUGGGCUAUUUCUGACACUGAGGCACGAAAGCGUGGGGAGCGAACCGGAUUAGAUACCCGGGUAGUCCACGCCGUAAACGAUGGAUACUAGCUGUUGGAGGUAUCGACCCCUUCAGUAGCGAAGCUAACGCGUUAAGUAUCCCGCCUGUGGAGUACGGUCGCAAGACUAAAACAU
rnacentral:rRNA from 1 species